rnacentral:snoRNA from 1 species
CACCUCCCUACCUUACCCAUCAGACCCACUCACGGGUCUGAGUGGUCAGAAAGGAGGAAGAGUUCCACGGAAACGGACUUAAUCCUUGUGUGACACAGGC